AGAAAGAGGGAGAGAGCAAGAGACAGAAAAAGAGAAAAAGAGAAAGACUAAGAGUAGUGGUAAAGCGGUGGUUGUGGAGGGGCUAGGAGUAGAGAAGCAAGGCACAAGGGUGUUAACUGUCCUUUGAGUCUCGUCGACGGAACACUUCAUCCGUGCGAUGUCUCACUCGGUUCAUGGGCUCUACUCGUCUAUGGUCCAACUACUGUGGCGCUUCGUGCGCUUCGAUGCUUUGUAAAAAGCCAUUUUCACACCUCUCCUGUCACCCAAAAUGGCGGACGCGCAUCGGACUUCUAAAGACCGUAAUUUUUCGAAGAAAAUUACGGACGAUAUUAAAAUCGUCAGUGAUUCUUCCUUACUUGAGAGGAAAAACCUACUUUCAACGAAUUUAAUAUUCUCGAUUAUCUACCUAUAUAUUCAUGUUCUUAGGUAAGUAUAUGAAACAUCAACGGAAAAUUACAUUUUCAUUUCCAUGGGACGUCGUGAAUAUAUGAAGGAAUUAUCGACGGUGUAAUAAUUGGGAAACUGUAAUGAGAGAUUAAGCCACGGCACCAUCGUAAUGAUGAUGCUAAUAGAAUGUUAUUAAUGUAACGAACGGACCGAUCGAUUUCUCGAAUGUGAAUAUAUUAGAAAAUAAUAAUAUCUUGACGUUUGACCUCAGGUGUUUUAUGAUUAACUGUAUUAUUCAAGGAUUAACAAGAAUAAUUUUUAUUAUUUGCUAUAUGAAACUUUGUAGAAUGAUCAACUUCUUUGAAUAAAAACAAAUACUUUUUCUUUCUCUUUCUCUUUCUCUGUCACUUUUUCUCUUUAUAUUUUUCUUCAGUGAACUACCAAUUCAAGAAACUUUUCUGAAUCUCGUUUAGUUUACACAUUUACCUCCUGUGCACCGCAAUGUUACCAUCAGAAUGUUAGGACAAUGGUGGAAAGGGAAAGAUCGUACAUGUGACGUCCGAAAAUGUGAUGAGACUUUCAAAAUGCUUUUACCUUCUCUCGGAUAUAUCUUGGAGCGAGAGAGAGAGAGAGAGAGAGAGAGAGAGAGAGAGAGAGAGAGAGAGAGAGAGAGAGAGAGAGAGAGAGAGAGAGAGAGAGA